AUUAGCUAUUUUACUUUGGUUUUAUUAGCUAGCAUUUAAUUUCUUUCGUUUUAUUUCUUUCAAAUUUAGGAGACCCAAGUAGGAGGACCUGAAUAUCGACCGACGACGAGACGUCGACAUCGUUCGACAUAGGCAACCACACGACGAUCGAUGUAACACUUACACAUCGAUCGAUAUCUAAUCCGGUCAGAUGUAUCUUCCCUACUUGUUACAUUUCUUACAUUAUAAACUAUUCAUCAUAACUCUUGCUGAGUUACACUGGGACAGUGUAAUUUAAGUCUGGGGGGAGAUUUACUGAUAUAAUUUAUUUUAUUCUUAUGUAAAAAGGAAUUUCAAAUAAAUUAUGCUUAGCUAUUGAAAAUAGGGACUAUAAUCCUAUAUUGAUUUAAACAUGAAUAUCUAACCAAUCUUUACCACCAUUUUAGAUUUACUGAUUGCAGAUCUAUACUAUAUUAAAAGAGAUAUAUAAGGAGUAGAGAGGCUGUCCACGUCGGACAAUUAAAUCAACCAAUAGAAAUGUUUAUUUUUGCCACGUCAGCCGGACUUUGUAAUGUUGGGCUUCAUUGUUUUAUUUAGCCCAAAUGUUGAUCAAGAUGAGGUGUCUUCGAAAACUGAAACAAAGUUUAUCGCGUUCGGCUCGACGGUGUUAUCUUUCUGAUCCACGAUGACGUUACUACCGAUGUCUCGGAGAAUCGAGCGCGAUCCUAGAGAAAACGAAGUCGCGGCAGCAGCUUCAAGGUUCACCAAACCCACGAAGAAGAAGAGGUGAAUUAAAGACAUUGAAACCAGUUGAUUAUAAAAUUUCAGAGUGAAGAUCUAAGAGCGACGGAGCUUCCCUCCUCCUGUUGCAGAAAACGAAGAUCUCUAUUUCGAAACGACAACGCUUUGACCGGCGACGAUGUUUGUUCUCCGACUACUUUUUGUAAUGGGCUUCGUUUAUACUGUUAUUGGCCCAUUACUAAUUACUCAUUGUCCUAUAAGGACUUUAAUCUAUAUUGCCCUACUAUCUCCCUUGUUUAUUCUAUAUUGUCCCACUAAUAACAAACAUUAUCUUUUUUAUUAUAUUUAAAUCGAAAACAUUGGAAAAGACAUAAAACCCCUUAAUGAAUCUAAGAAAUUACAAACUCAAAUCGGAUCAUCCACCCAAACCCAUACCCAAUACGGAUCCCAUCAAUUUAAUAAUAAUAAGUAAAUAAGAAAAAGAAAUCAAAAUCCCUAAUCUUUCCAGCUUCUUCUUCACGAGCCUCCUUCUUCAUUCUUUUUCUGUCUUUUUCAAUUUCUCGCACAACACAUUCUCUGUCUCUGAUGAACCCUCAUUCUAAAAACAGGGACACAGAUUUUAAAUCAGAAUGACGCAUGUACGUUGCUGAGUCUGGCACUCGUUGAAAAUUAAAACUCAAUCGGAGCCUGCGACUCGAUUCCGUCGCUUACAAGUUACAAACGCUUAACGCUUAAUAAAAAUAAGAAGAGAGAGGUCACCACCGAAGCAGUGAAGCCAUUGGUGGAUCUCGCAGCGGAGAAGGCGAUGGUGGUUCUGAGCAGUCAUACAACAAUCGAGGAGAACAAAAGCUCAGCCGGAAGCUAUGACGCGAUUCCGCCGCUUACAACGCUCUAGAAGUUGUGCACGCUUCAGCAAAACAAGGAGAGUUGAUUCACCACCAGAGGGGUGAAUCCGUUGGUAGACUUUUGGGGCAAAGUAGGGGACUGUAGUGGUGAAAUGGUAGAGAAGGCGAUUUGGAGGCUAUGUGGACAUUGUUUCAAAAAAGUAAUUUCCUUUUCACACAAAGGACAUUUUUACCAUACUUGGAUCGAGUUUGUUUAAGAUAGUGUUUGUGAGAUAUGGUUUAAAUCUUUUUGCUAAGCUGUUGGAUUAUCUUUGCCACUGUUUUUUUUUGGUCAAAUCUUUGCCACUGGUUUAGAUAUCGUUUAUGUUCAUAAAUGUGGCGUCAUUCUUGUAAAAUGACAGUAACUGAAUCCGAGAUGCGAUCAUAUGGGUCACUUGCAACGAAGAUUUCAUAUUGGCUGGGUAACUAAAUGUCUUCGCUUUAUGGUUUGAGCUUGUGUUUCUCAUGUUUGUUAGAUUUGAUUUACUAAUUUGGAAAGGAUCAACAAAAUAUCUUCGCAUUAUUCGCAAUGGAAUAGGAACAAAGCUGAUAAAGAAGUUGACAAAGUAUCUGAGGAUGCAGAGGAAGAGAAAUAAGGAUAGAACAUAAGGUUCAAAGGCUUGGAAUAUACUGAUUAUGUGUUAAUUAAGAAUUUAAAAGUGUAGUUUACGAAUAUUGCGUAGGAAAAUUUGUUAUGUUUGUUGCAAAACUAAUUUGGAUAUUUUGAAUGUGACUGAAUGUCAUAUAGAGUGUGAUUGGUUA